GGUUGGGUGACUGAGCGGUCAAAAGUAACGGUCUGUAAAACCGUCGGGCUAUGCCCUACGAAGGUUCGAAUCCUUCCCCAACCA
rfam:Elusimicrobia bacterium RIFOXYA2_FTLL_58_8 rifoxya2_full_scaffold_2174, whole genome shotgun sequence.